UACGGGGGGGGCAAGCGUUGUUCGGAAUUACUGGGCGUAAAGGGCUCGUAGGCGGCCAACUAAGUCGGAUGUGAAAUCCCCAGGCUUAACCUGGGAACUGCAUCCGAUACUGGAUGGCUUGAAUCCGGGAGAGGGAUGCAGAAUUCCAGGUGUAGCGGUGAAAUGCGUAGAUAUCUGGAGGAAUACCGGUGGCGAAGGCGGCAUCCUGGACCGGCAUUGACGCUGAGUGAGCGAAAGCAUGGGGAGCGAACAGG
rnacentral:rRNA from 1 species